GCCCUCAGCGCCUCCCCCGCUCCUCCUCUUCGUGAUUCGUUCCGCUCCGCACUCCUGGCGACGGAAGGCGCGUCCAUGUGACCGGGGAGGGGGUGCAAGCGUGACCCAGAGAGUCACCAGCCCAGGCUGCGGCCCGCCCAUCCGCACCUGGGCUGGGUCAAGGACCCAGGACUGCCGGGUGACCCCAAGGUCGUAGUGCUGAUUCCCGCUCCCGGGCCGCUCAUCCCGGAGCCAGAUGUUGAUGGGACGGGGCAGCAACCGAGUCUUGUGCUCGGGGAUUUCCAACUCAGAAGUGAGAACGGGGCAGCUGAGUUCUUGGCUGCCCUUCCUGGAGGCCUCAAAAGGCUUGCGCAUCUUCUCGCAGGAUAGUUCUGCGCUGCUUCCCACCCCCCACCUUCUCCAGCAAGAUCAUAAGCACAGAAGUAAGAACUCUCCUUGACCAAAAUUCAGAUUGUAGGAUGAAAGAGCUUGGCCAAGUGAUUUCCUAAGUAUUCUCCACUACUAAAUGGAAAUAAGCCACUUCAUUGGGCUCUUCACAUAACAAUAAUAUAUAGAAAAAGUGCCUGAUUGAAGAAAGACCCUGCAUUUCAAGGUUUCCAACCUAACUAAUGUCCCAUUUAAUGACGUAGAUUAUUCUAGAGAUUCUCCAGUGGAAAGGUUUUAUCCUUUUGCCUUGGAAGCUGGCCAGAAAUUCUUUGCCAAAUCAUGCGUCCUGAGUUUUGGUUUGGAAAAUGUGGUCACCAUUGAGUUGAGAGACUGGUUCGGGCCACUGCCAGAUGGCAGCUAGGAAAGGCCUUGGAGGGUGGCUUGGGAGGAAGAGGGGAGGCUCCGCCAGGAGAGUUGGGAGCCGGGGAGUUCUGUCCACCCUGGAAAUCCCAGUUGCCCAGAACUAGCACCUUUCUAGAAGGAAAUGAAGUUGUCCCUUGGGCUGUCUUCUCUCCCACCUUACUACCACACACAUGUUCAUCCUGCCCUAAGGGGAAAAGCAGUGGUCAGUCAUCAUUAGUUCUUCACGAGGUGGACCUAUGGCAUUGCUCCUGACCAGAAGGCUUCCAUUAAAGCUUAGCGCUAAAAAGAAGGGCCUUAUGACUCAGCGGCAUCAGAACUUGGAAUGUUUACCACCAGCAGGUGGCCCAGGAGGGGGUAUUCUAGGGCAAGGCUGGCCGGUAGGGUUGUGUGGGAGUUGAAAGGCCUUGAGGAGCAAGAGGGACUACAGAUCAGAAACAAGGAUCUCUGGUGAAGAAGCACAGGCUCAGCUAGUGCGUGCAUUCUACCUGCCUCCAGCAGCCCUCUUUUACAGGGACCAGGGCUUAGGGGGCAGGGCGACGGUUCCAGCUGGCUGAGAGCUCUCGUCACCCACUACUCUUGCCUUGCCAAUCAACUUGCGCAGGAAGCCUCUAGGAGUCCCACGCCGACCGCCGGCAGCCUGCUCUCAGCUGCCUCCUAGACCCCCAAGACUCCCCUGCGGGACGCACUUUGCAGGAGCCCAGCCGGGAGGUGAAGAAGCUGUGAAUUCCAGGAGACCUCUAGGCUCGCUGCGGGUAGGGUAGGGGUCUCCGGCCAGCCAGAGUUCCCUCUCCUGUUGCCAGUUGGAGCUGGAAAACUUUGGCUGAAGCAGGGUGUGGGCCCCAGAGGACUAGAAGGCUGUGGCCUCCUUCCAGAUACUUCCCAGGGGCCAUUGGCAAUCAAUAAGGAUACCCAUCUCCACCACCAUAAGGUGAAACUGGAUUUUGACCAAAGGAAGAAAAAAACGACUACAGGAACUGACAAGGAUUGGAAGAGGGAAAAGUUGAGGAACUCGGCUCAGCCUCCUGGUUUCAUCUUACAGAUGGGGCAACUGAGGCCCUAGGGGGCGGGGAUCUGCCCAAGGCAGUCCCGAGAACUAACAGUGGAGCUUCUUAGGUUUAGUUCACAGCAUAUCCUGAUACCUUGCAACUCAAUUUCUCUGUUUGGCAGGAGGAAAAUAUCAAAGAAUUUAUUAAUAACUGAAGCUAGCCCUGUUGGAACUGAGGCAGCAAAUCUCCCUACAACAAGGGAUUAAGAAGUAAUAAUGCUCACAGCUAACAUUUAUUAAGCAUUUACUAUGUACCAGGAGAUGUUCUGAUCACUUUAUGUUAACUAAUUUUCAAUUCCAGGAGGUAAUACUAUCCCUGUUUUAUAUUAUUAUCCCUAUUCUUACUCUAUUAUCCCUAUUCUGUAGGGAAACAGUAACAGCAAUCCAAAUGACCAAAGUCACCUCGCUAGUAUAGGAUAAAGCCUGGAGGAUUUGAACUCAACAGAUAUUUUUCCAGGGGAACUCAGACCUCAAGAGUAUUUUUCCAGGCCCCACACCCUCAACCACUAUGGGUUGGCUUCUAAUGAGAAUGUGGUUACAAUCUACUUGUGUUCUGGAUGUUGGUUUAAGAGUGUAAACUCUUCAUUAUAGACACUCUUGCAGAGUGACUUAGAUUAUCUGGGCCUGUAUAAAUGUUUAAUAUAUGCUCUCUGACCAGAUAAUGUUUCUACACACUGAGACCUCAAAGCACCAGGUUAAGUGGGGCAAUCAAGGUCACAUUGUAAAUUUGAGAAGACUCCUUCCCCCAUGGUGCAGAGCUUUCUUAAUUCUGUCCGGUGCUAUGGUCAGAAGCUUGACUUUCUCCCCAACAGUGGGUCCCAGUUCCUUUAGUGAUAACUUCUUGGACCCCAUUACCAAUCAUAUCAGUGAUCCUAAUUUGACUACUGCUAUGUUUUCAAGGAUGCUGAAAAGAUUGCCUUACCCUCCCCCAAACAUAUUCCCUAUCCUGUCCUCAAGUUUAUAUGUGUAGAAAAUGCACACUUGGACAUUUUCCUUCUUGGUUUAAAGCCAAACUGGCAGUUCAUCUUUUAUUAAAAUUCAAACAUCACAAGAGAAAAAAAUAAACUGGGCCUCAUAAGCCAUUUUCAUGUAAUGAGAAUAAGAUUACCAGAUCCUUCUUCCCUAAAAACAAGUUUCCAUAGGAUAAAAACUAGGACUACUAACUCACCUGAAUUCAUAUCUGCAAGAACCUCAGGAGUCAUCUAGGUAAAAUCUCCUUUUAAAGGCCCAGGUAAGGAAGAAGAGUCUUCUACAUCACUAUAGAUACUGGUCCUGGGAAGGGACCAGUGUGAGGAGGGAAACAGAGGGGUGGACAGAGAGACAAGAGACUAGGUUAACUUCAAUGUCAGAAAGCUUCUAUUCGUGAUUUUUAAAAUCUUCCCCACACCACCACUGAAAAAUGAUAUAUGCAUUUAAUGGUGUGUAAAUUAUACUUUAAUAAAACUAUUUUUAAAAAAGUA